ACACCGGGAUCCUAUCAGUCGGAGAGGUCUCUGCCAGAAUGUGGUCACAUGGCCUCUGCUCUGCUUAUAGGCAAGGCCUUUGGAGUGUGGUUUCUCAGUUGUAAUUGUUUUAACACAUGGAACAAUACAAAGAACUCGCACAGAGGACAUACGAACAGGAAGACGGGAUCCCAGAAAAUUUAUUAGGUAACAAAACAAUCAGCUUGAACUUGUUAACGGUGACAGAGUCUGUGCACUGAGCUUCAGCCGUCUCCCUUCUGCAUGGGAAUUUAGUCACGUCCUGAGACUUUGUGUGCAAACUGGAACAGCUGGGGAGGAUGGGAGCCGUCUGUGCGACACAUGGCUCUCCGCUUUUCUAGGUCUGGAAAGCAUCUGAACUUUUUGGAAGUGGCUAACCAUGCAAGAGUCAGUCCUCGGCAGUGAUGCCCAGCAAGGCCAGGCCUCCAAGGAAGACUGCGGUAUUACCAACCAGUCACCAGAAUGACAGGAGCCAAGUCCU